UACGAAGGGGGCUAGCGUUGCUCGGAAUCACUGGGCGUAAAGGGUGCGUAGGCGGGUCUUUAAGUCAGGGGGUGAAAUCCUGGAGCUCAACUCCAGAACUGCCUUUGAUACUGAAGAUCUUGAGUGCGGGAGAGGUGAGUGGAACUGCGAGUGUAGAGGUGAAAUUCGUAGAUAUUCGCAAGAACACCAGUGGCGAAGGCGGACUCACUGGCCCGGUACUGACGCUGAGGUGCGAAAGCGUGGGGAGCAAACAGG
rnacentral:rRNA from 1 species